rnacentral:rRNA from 1 species
GACGAACCGUGCGAACGUUAUUCGGAAUCAUUGGGCUUAAAGCGCGUGUAGGCGGAUUCGUGCGUCUGUCGCUGAAAUCCCCCGGCUCAACCGGGGAACGGGCGUGGAUACGACGAGUCUGGAGGGGCAUAGGGGGACCUGGAACUUCCGGUGGAGCGGUGAAAUGCGUUGAGAUCGGAAGGAACGCCCGUGGCGAAAGCGAGGUCCUGGACCAAUACUGACGCUCAUGUGCGAAAGCGUGGGGAGCAAACAGG